rnacentral:lncRNA from 1 species
AGAUACAUGGGAGAACUUUGGGAUUUUGAUUUCAAUGCUAAUAGCUUUGUAAUAGAAUUUUUAUGAACGCCUUUAGUUGUAUUUGAUUUAUAUAGUUUUCAAAAUUCAGUUAUAAUAAAUGGAAGUUUUUAUUUAAACUUUAUCUCGCAAUGGUAUCCGAAUUAAGUGUUAAAAAGUUUUUGUAAACCCGUGACAUCCCAAAAUCUGGGGUGUUAGACGAGUAGCCCUUUCCAACCACUAGAACUCGCUUACCUGAAUACCCUUUGCCAGGAAGACUUUCGGUAUAGGGAUCAUUAUACUCGUUGUGAACUCUUCUACAAUCUCAUAGAAUGUCCUCACUUUGCGUCUUUUUCACCGCAAAAAUUACCAUAGUGCAUCUUUUUCACCGCACUCAGGAGCAAAACACUGUUUGCAAGAUUAGUCAUCUCUUACUCUCUCUUUCUUCUUUCCCUUUUACUCUCUUUUUCGGACACUCUAGGUAUUUGACUCUCUCCUUUUUUUGUUCUCUUUUUUCUCUCUAAACUCGGCCCUCUUUCCUUUUUUUCUCUAUCGAUAUUUGACUCUCCCUCUCACUUCCUUUUUUCUCUUUUUCUUUUUCUCUUACUCACUCCUCCUCCAGCGGAAGCAUUCCCAACCAAACCAUCAGCUCUGAUACCACUGUUGGGAAAAUCUCACGAUACCCACUCAUAACGUGACCCAC